rnacentral:rRNA from 1 species
AGAAUCAACGCUGGCGGCGUGCCUAACACAUGCAAGUCGAACGAGAAAGUGGAGCAAUCCAUGAGUAAAGUGGCGACCGGGUGAGUAACACGUGACUAACCUACCUUCGAGUGGGGGAUAACCUCGGGAAACCGAGGCUAAUACCGCAUAACAUCGUGAGAUCAAAGCAGUAAUGCGCUGGAAGAGGGGGUCGCGGCUGAUUAGCUAGUUGGCGGGGUAAUGGCCCACAAGGCGAAGAUCGGUAG